UCCUACGGGAGGCAGCAGUGAGGAAUAUUGGUCAAUGGACGCAAGUCUGAACCAGCCAAGUAGCGUGCAGGAUGACGGCCCUCCGGGUUGUAAACUGCUUUUAGUUGGGAAUAAAAGGGGGCUCGUGAGCCCCGUAUUGUAUGUACCAUCAGAAAAAGGACCGGCUAAUUCCGUGCCAGCAGCCGCGGUAAUACGGAAGGUCCGGGCGUUAUCCGGAUUUAUUGGGUUUAAAGGGUGCGCAGGCGGGAGAUCAAGUCAGCGGUAAAAUGUCGGGGCUCAACCCCGGCCGGCCGUUGAAACUGGUU
rnacentral:rRNA from 1 species